AAAAGAAACGCGAAAAAAGUAAAAAAGUAAAAUAAAAUAAAAUAGAGAAUAAGAAUAAGAAGAGAUGUCUUUCUUAGAAAGGAUAAGGCUUUGUUUUUUCUAAUGUUGUGACUUUGUAUUU
rnacentral:ribozyme from 1 species